rnacentral:rRNA from 1 species
AACGAACGCUGGCGGCAGGCUUAACACAUGCAAGUCGAGCGCGUAGCAAUACGAGCGGCAGACGGGUGAGUAACGCGUGGGAAUCUACCGAGCCCUAAGGAAUAGCUCCGGGAAACUGGAAUUAAUACCUUAUACGCCCUUCGGGGGAAAGAUUUAUCGGGGUUUGAUGAGCCCGCGUUGGAUUAGCUAGUUGGUGGGGUAAAGGCCUACCAAGGCGACGAUCCAUAGCUGGUCUGAGAGGAUGAUCAGCCACAUUGGGACUGAGACACGACCCAAACUCCUACGGGAGGCAGCAGUGGGGAAUAUUGGACAAUGGGCGCAAGCCUGAUCCAGCCAUGCCGCGUGAGUGAUGAAGGCCCUAGGGUUGUAAAGCUCUUUCACCGGUGAAGAUAAUGACGGUAACCGGAGAAGAAGCCCCGGCUAACUUCGUGCCAGCCGCCGCGGUAAUAC